GAAGAGGCCUGAGAUGUGUGCCAGCCUGCCUCGGUGCUGUUGGCUCACCUGACGCAGCCUGGCAGCCUCCCGCACCGCUGUCUGCUCCCGUGCAGCCCGUCCCGCAUCGGCCGCCUCGGACUUCAAGGGGUGGUUUAACGAAGUGUUGAGGACGGGCGUGAGGGCGUUGAGGGAGCGGCGAGCUUCACUGACAAGGGCGGUGGUCUCUCGAUACUGCUGCUGUAGAACCUGCUGACUGUAUCGCAGCUGGCUUUCCUCCACCUGCUGCGCCGCCUUCAUCCGCAUGACCUCCACCAGCACCUACCGCACAGAGAUAAUAUUCUAAAACACUUCUGCGCCGCACCUCCACUAUUUUCAAAAGAUUAUAGUUAAAAUGACAGUAUCUCUCACUAGACUAGAGCUUGCUAAACUAUCACUAAAAUCAUGAAAACCUCAAUAAUUUCCACUAAAACCUAUUCAAAGCAAACGAGAUGAGGCGCCAAAUCUUUUGAGUUUACUGUCCUUGACUUGUAGAGCGAUAUGUCAACUCGAGGGAUUCUAAUAUAGGUAAUAUCAUUGGCCAGAACUCGUGAUGUAUAAUAAUCCACACCUCCUAUCUCAACCCCUACGUACGUAAUUCAUUUUGAUAAUUAUGAGAAGGAGGAAGACACCCAGACUGUAAUGAACUACACUUUUUUUUAGACUCAGCAAAUACUUAAACUAACAUCCAAUAUAUAAUAACAUUACCGAGUCAAGUGUUUAUAAAGUGGAGUCCAACAAACCGCCUGUAUUUCUCAUUAACAGUGCUACAAACACAUUACAAUGUCGACAAGGGAAACACAGUCAGACUGCAUUAUGUUACAUUUCUGAAUAAAAAAAAAAAAAAAAACACUUUCUAACUAAAUACGAAAACACAAAUUCUUCGCUGUUUAAAGAAUUUUCUUCUAUAUUUUGCUGCUAUAAAAACUUAGAUUUGAAAAUACGUAUAGUUAGACUAGAUGCUAUUGGAUAUCAUUACUUGGGUCAUGUUUCUCAUAUUUUUUAUGUACAAUGUCAAUCACCAAAACAAUCCUGGACGAGCUAAUUAAAGAAAAACAACAUUAAAAUGGUAGAAUGACGAAAAUAUUAUUUGCACAAGAAACAAAAGACACAGCCAGGCAAGAUCUUAUAAUGGAUUGUAACUUGAUUUUCAUUUCUAUCAAUAAAUCAAAUGCCAAAACAAUGCAAACUCCCCUUAAUAAAAAAAAUUUUGCA